ACUCAAAUGAAUUGACGGGGACCCGCACAAGCGGUGGAGCAUGUGGUUUAAUUCGAUGCAACGCGAAGAACCUUACCUGGUCUUGACAUCCUCGGAACUUGUCAGAGAUGACUUGGUGCCUUCGGGAACCGAGAGACAGGUGCUGCAUGGCUGUCGUCAGCUCGUGUCGUGAGAUGUUGGGUUAAGUCCCGCAACGAGCGCAACCCUUGUCCCUAGUUGCCAUCAUUCAGUUGGGCACUCUAGGGAGACCGCCGGUGACAAAUCGGAGGAAGGUGGGGACGACGUCAAGUCAUCAUGGCCCUUAUGACCAGGGCUACACACGUGCUACAAUGGCCAGUACAGAGGGUUGCCAACCCGCGAGGGGGAGCUAAUCCCAGAAAGCUGGUCGUAGUCCAGAUCGGAGUCUGCAACUCGACUCCGUGAAGCCGGAAUCGCUAGUAAUCGCGAAUCAGCAUUGUCGCGGUGAAUACGUUCCCGGGUCUUGUACACACCGCCCGU
rnacentral:rRNA from 1 species